rnacentral:tRNA from 5 species
GCGCCCGUAGCUCAAUGGAUAGAGUACUGGCCUCCGAAGCCAGGGGUUGCUGGUUCGAUCCCAGCCGGGCGCACCA